GAUGAAGAACGCAGCGAAAUGCGAUAAGUAAUGCGAAUUGCAGAAUUUCCGUGAGUCAUCGAAUCUUUGAACGCACAUUGCGCCCCUUGGUAUUCCAUGGGGCAUGCCUGUUCGAGCGUCAUUUGUACCUUCAAGCUCUGCUUGGUGUUGGGUGUUUGUCUCGCCUCUGCGUGUAGACUCGCCUCAAAACAAUUGGCAGCCGGCGUAUUGAUUUCGGAGCGCAGUACAUCUCGCGCUUUGCACUCAUAACGACGACGUCCAAAAGUACAUUUUUACACUCUUGACCUCGGAUCAGGUAGGGAUACCCGCUGAACUUAAGCAUAUCAAUAAGCGGAGGA
rnacentral:misc_RNA from 1 species